AUUGAACGCUGGCGGCAGGCUUAACACAUGCAAGUCGAGCGGGGUGAUGGUGCUUGCACUAUCACUUAGCGGCGGACGGGUGAGUAAUGCUUAGGAAUCUGCCUAUUAGUGGGAGACAACAUCUCGAAAGGGAUGCUAAUACCGCAUACGUCCUACGGGAGAAAGCAGGGGAUCACUUGUGACCUUGCGCUAAUAGAUGAGCCUAAGUCGGAUUAGCUAGUUGGUGGGGUAAAGGCCUACCAAGGCGACGAUCUGUAGCGGGUCUGAGAGGAUGAUCCGCCACACUGGGACUGAGACACGGCCCAGACCCCUACGGGAGGCAGCAGUGGGGAAUAUUGGACAAUGGGGGGAACCCUGAUCCAGCCAUGCCGCGUGUGUGAAGGAGGCCUUAUGGUUGUAAAGCACUUUAAGCGAGGAGGAGGCUCUUUUGGUUAAUACCCAAGAUGAGUGGACGUUACUCGCAGAAUAAGCACCGGCUAACUCUGUGCCAGCCGCCGCAGUAA
rnacentral:rRNA from 1 species